rnacentral:rRNA from 1 species
AUUGAACGCUGGCGGCAGGCUUAACACAUGCAAGUCGAACGCCCCGCAAGGGGAGUGGCAGACGGGUGAGUAACGCGUGGGAAUCUACCUAGUUCUACGGAACAACAGAGGGAAACUUCUGCUAAUACCGUAUACGCCCUAUGGGGGAAAGAUUUAUCGGAAUUAGAUGAGCCCGCGUAAGAUUAGCUAGUUGGUGAGGUAAUGGCUCACCAAGGCGACGAUCUUUAGCUGGUCUGAGAGGAUGAUCAGCCACACUGGGACUGAGACACGGCCCAGACUCCUACGGGAGGCAGCAGUGGGGAAUAUUGGACAAUGGGCGCAAGCCUGAUCCAGCCAUGCCGCGUGAGUGAUGAAGGCCUUAGGGUUGUAAAGCUCUUUCAGUAGGGAAGAUAAUGACGGUACCUACAGAAGAAGCCCCGGCUAACUUCGUGCCAGCAGCCGCCGUAAGAC